GAUGAACGCUGGCGGCGUGCCUAAUACAUGCAAGUCGAGCGAACAGACGAGGAGCUUGCUCCUCUGACGUUAGCGGCGGACGGGUGAGUAACACGUGGAUAACCUACCUAUAAGACUGGGAUAACUUCGGGAAACCGGAGCUAAUACCGGAUAAUAUAUUGAACCGCAUGGUUCAAUAGUGAAAGACGGUUUUGCUGUCACUUAUAGAUGGAUCCGCGCCGCAUUAGCUAGUUGGUAAGGUAACGGCUUACCAAGGCAACGAUGCGUAGCCGACCUGAGAGGGUGAUCGGCCACACUGGAACUGAGACACGGUCCAGACUCCUACGGGAGGCAGCAGUAGGGAAUCUUCCGCAAUGGGCGAAAGCCUGACGGAGCAACGCCGCGUGAGUGAUGAAGGUCUUCGGAUCCUAAAACUCUGUUAUUAGGGAAGAACAAAUGUGUAAGUAACUAUGCACGUCUUGACGGUACCUAAGCAGAAAGCCACGGCUAACUACGU
rnacentral:rRNA from 1 species